AAUCAGCAGCACAACACCAACAAGCCCAAAACAAACUAUGGAUGCGCCCAUUUGGAAAGAGUGGGGGUAUAGGCCCGGUUUGAGGGUGUGUACCAGUAACAUCGGAUUUGGGCCUUGUCAAGGGUCCCCUAUUCAUCUAAGCCAUGGAAAUAGGGGGGUGAAAGGUAAACCCGAGGGUUUGAAUGGUAAAUGCAUGGGCCUAAGAGGAAUUGGCAGGCCCAAACGUGAGGUUAGGCGUGUUGAAGAGAGGAGAAGCGAAAACGGAAUCAGAGUGAAUAAGCUUGAAGAAUCGAAAAUGGAAUCCGAGUGUUGAAGAAGAGAAACAAAAAUGGAAUCAGGGCUUCGUGUUUUUUUUUUGCAGCUAAGUUGUGUUUCAGCUUUUUCUUGUCGUUUUGGAACUUUUGGUUACCAUUGCUGUUUUGGUGCGUAGGGAGUAGCUUAUGGUCGUUUUGGAAAUUGUUGGCUUUAUGCUGCGUUUUGGUUCCUCAUUUUUCGUUUAUGCGAUUGGUAUUUGCGUUCAAUUCAUUGCAUUUUGUUGCUACUGUUAUGUUGUUCAGAUUUGUUGUGCGCUUUGUACCUUAAUCACCCGCGUUUUACUGCGUCAUGGUUGCAGCUUGUGGAAAA